rnacentral:lncRNA from 1 species
AGACACAGGCCCACAUCUGGAGGAUAUUAGUCUGCCCAAAGGAAUUCAGCCUGUGAACUGGUUUUGGCUGAUGUUUUGGAGGAGUAUGCAACCUUGAGGAAUCUUGGCUGUGUCAAUACAGGUAAUACUCAAUAGAGUUGAACUUGACUAUAAACUGCCUGAUUCAUGGGACAUUUAAUUUUUCAUAUUAAGUUUGAG